GCCGCCGCGAGCGCCGAUUGGCCGAGCGCGCCGAGGAGGGGCCGGGCCGGUGCUGACCCCCCUCCCCCCGCCUUCCCCGCGCCCGCCUCCUCCGCGCCCUCCCCGCGGGCCCGCUCCUCUUUGUUGUCUGCUGCGGAACAAUACGGCGGCCAGGCGCUGCCCGGCCCCCGGCGCCCCCUAAAACCGACCAUGGUCAAGGUGGAGGCUGCCCCUGUGCACGCCGGCUCACCCGUCAGGCGCGAGGGAGGGAGGAUGCCGCCUUCCCCCCGCGGUGUCGCUGCAGCCCGGCGCCUCAUGGGGAGAGGCGAGGCGAGGCGAGGGGCCGGGCCUCCCCGCCGGCUGCCGCUGCUGGGGGAGGCCUGCGGGCGAGGCACCUGCUGGGCGAGGGGGCUGUCAGGAGGACCCGCCACCUCCCCAGGAGAGCCCCUCACAAGUGCAGGGACACCAGGAGAGGAGCUCAUCUGCAAUGGCAGCACUGAAGGAGAAGCGGCCUAAAGCCGAGUGCCCUGGGGGGGAUGCCCUCAGAGCACCCUCCACCAUGAGGCAGAUCUAUCCUUCAACCUACUGCCUUGGGACGCAAGACGCAAGGAGAGAUGUCCUAGCAUGGGCAGGUGCCACCACCGCACCCCUACGAACUCCCUCAAGACCCUGCGGGACACACCUCCCAGCAGCCACCAGGCAUUUGUGCCACUCACCCGUUUUGAAAAUCGUUAUUAGACAAGCAUUGCCAUGCUGCAAGACACCCAGACUGACUCCCUCCUGCAUGGCAGGCCUUGGGCAUGAUCAAGCUGGAGUGAAACCUGUCAUUUCAAGUGCACUGUGUGCUGGCAAAUAGUCAUGAGCUGCCUCCUAAGUUUAAAAUACCCAUUUAGUAAAACCAGAUUGGAAGGAACACCCUGCAGGUGGCAAGAUGGAAAUAGGACGAUGCUAAAAUAAUGCUAGAAGAAAGAGGAAUACUGAAGGACAAGCAAACUACACCCGCUUGCAUCUCAGGCAGGGAAUAGUUGGAAUUGCUGGACACUUUUCCACUCUCUCAUCACUUCCUUCCUUGUUGCAGUUAUUUUAUGCCCAUGCCCAGCUCAGGAUUGGAACUUGUCAAGAAUUUAGCACACACUUCGGAACAACAGAAGUUGCAGUAAUAGAUUGUGCAUUUUAACAGAAAAAAAAUUGCAUCUGUGUGUUUUUCUGCUGAGCCAGAAAAACCAUGACUAAGUCUCAGUUUUAAUCUGUUGAAUGGUGCAAGAGGACCUUACUCAUUUGAAUUUCUGCACCAAAUCUGCUUUCCUAGUGGUGGAAAUAUUGAACAGUGUAGAGAAUCAGGAUGAUUCAGAACACGGGAGCAUGCCACGUUAAAUAUACAAUAGACCUCAAUUUUAGCAGCAUUCAAAUAGGAUGUCGUUUCAUCCUUGCACUAAUUGAAAUCAAUCUGAAGGAGUCAGAGCUUUUGAGAGCUAAAAAUCAUAAUUGCUUUCUUAAAGGCAGCACCCUGUGUAAAAUUAAAUGCACUUUUCCAACAGCUUCACUAAUGCAGCAUUUGAUUGGCCCUUGAGGAUUCCUGGAGAUAUUUGUCAUUCAGAAUGGAAUCAGGUCAGCAGCUAAAAUUAACCACCCACCUCUCCCCUGUUCAGCUUGUAGAAUCACUGCUUUUGGUACUGCUCAGCUUGGGCCUUCCAAAAUGGGUGGGUUCUUACUACGAACCUAAAUUAUGCCUUAACAAGGAAUAUUGAUGGAUACAAUCAUUCAUAUUCUGAAAUGAAACUGUUGGGAAUCAGACUCACAGUCCCUUUGACUCCAGCCUGCAUUGAUUGGUUCUUGGGCAGCCUGCCAAACCGGGUGCUGCCUCUUACAGCAUCCACUGUUAAUCUGCCUCAGCGAGGCCUGCAAGCUCUACAUAAACUACAAUUUCUCUUCAUUAGUGUGAUUCUGCCUGCAUGAAUCUGAUAACAUAUGGGAUAUUAUCAUAAAACAGCCUAUUUCUCCAAUUCAUUUUCUCUUUUAUGAAGAUUAUGAAAUGUACUGCAAGUGCAUUGGGCAGAAUAAAACUGGAGAGUCUACUGUAUAGUUUAUCUUUGAUUCGGUUUCUAAAAUGCAAAUAGCCUUCCUUUUAAAUUCACAUUUCCCAAUACUACCAUGCGAAUACAUUAUGAAAACUGCUGACUCUCUCUUCUAUUUCCUCCAGUUCACUACAGGCCUGAUGUAUAACACAAGUCACUUGCCCAAGGAUAGAAGUUUAAUGUUCAGAGCCAGAAGAUACAGUACGAUGGAAAAAACCUGGAGGGCUUCCUCAUGAUAAUGAACUUCCUGAGAUGUACGUGCUCGAUCAGCUCAGUACAGGAAUUUUGAGACCUGGCUGGGGUAAGGAACACACACUCUUGGCACAGAUGCCCAUCCCACUUAGCUGUCAUCAUACCCAGAAUGCACAGGGGAAAUCAUGCUUAGGCAAAGUGUAUGGUGAGUCGAGUGAAGCUUUACCUCCCCUAGUUAGUCAUUAGCUAAAGCAGGGGUGCGUUGGAGGGAGUAAAAAGCCUUUAGCAAUAACUCCUUGCCCUUCCGUUUAAGCAUUCCUGGACAAACAAGAGUCAUUUUUCUGCUUUAACCUUGUCUAAUGUAAUGGGGGUGGUAUAGCUGUUGGAAUGAGAUUAUCAAGCUUGUUAUGGAUCUAGCUGGAGGAGGAUAAAUAUCAUUAACUUGAGAGUAGCAUCCAGUAUUGAUAAAGACACUUCAAGGAGUCAGCUUUUGUGGUCAACCUGUAAGUCUGCUAGCUGAAAGGAGACUAAGCUUCUUAUGAUCAGUCCCCAUAUUUUUCCUUACAAAAAGGUAGUGUGGAAUUCAGGAACGAAAUGAAUCAUGAACUGAGAGAAGUUGGCUUAAGAAGAUAACCUGCCUUCCUUCCUGAGCUGCUGCAAGAGGAGGAUGUUUAUGCCUACACUGCCAAUUAAAGCCUGGGAGUUUGGUAGAGGGGUUUUCAUUCCUCCCCAAAAAAAGGGUUAUAAGGUUGGGGCCUGCCACACUGACAUCUCUCCUUCAGGUGUCUUGAUCUGUCAACAUAAAUAUACUCAAGUGUUUGGUUUUUAUUCUCCGAUGAAGCCAAAACAAUAAGAGAAAUAAGAACUUCAUUUCCUUUGAAUAGAUCUGGUUCAUAUCAGGCUUUAAAUCUGUAGUAAGGUCUUAUUCUGCGUUUGAUAUUAACUUAAUACACAGCACUGGCUAUUGUAUGUUGUCUUCCUAUUUAAAAAAAAAAAAAAAAAAAAACCAACCGUGAUCAGAACAUUCAUUGCAGACAAAGCAAUUAAAACUAGCCCCCAACCUCUCCCACAAUAUUUUCAACAUUUACUUUAAACACUUUAAUUUAAAGAGAAAUAACUUACUCUUUCUUAAUAAAAAACAAGUCCUCUAUCUAAAGCUAUAAUAAAAAGUGUAAGUAAAUCUGCAAUACUCAUUAACAGUGACACAUCAAGACCCCUGGAGAAUGAAGUCUUCUGUUUAGCUAAGCACCAGAUAGUCUUUCCCAUUACCACCCCAUCCUGGUUCUGGCAUCCUGUUUGGGAGUGAGAAAAAAGUUCAGUCUCCACAUGCAUUCAAUUAUAGUAUUACUGGUGUGGCAGUAGUACCUGGAGGCCCCAAUCAGCGUCUAGCCCUACUGUUUUAAGCAGGUCACUUAUACUGAGCAUGAGAGAGUCCCCAUCUCAAAUCACUUAGCAUAAAAAUAAGCAAAAGCACACAUUCAAUCCUCGGGGGCUUCUGUAGGGGUUAAAUCCCAACUCAUGCCAGUAGGAUGUUGUUUUUUGGAUGUGAAUGUCUGUCUACUAGGAACCGAGUCUCAAAACUUGUUAACAGCCAUCAGAUGAUAACUAUUUUAGGCUGCUUUUGACCUUUUAGACAAUAAAAUCUGUUUUAAAAGAUUAUUAAAGUAUUAUGUGAAUCUUGCAGAACUUUGAAUGGUCUCAAGAAUAUUGUAAGUUCACUGAGUUUUGCAUAAUAUCUUUCAUAAUGUGCUUAGAUACAUCUGACCCAUGACAGUCAAAUUUUCCAUUGCAGUGCAAAGAUGUUACUUGCUGGCAAGUGAACAAGAAAGAAUGUUUUCCUAUUUGUGCCAGCUCCUUAUCCGUCAGGGAAACAAAGAUCAAUCAACAACAUUGAAGAGGCUGUUGUAGCACAAUUCAGUCGUAAGAUUUGCGGGGAAUCCUGGAGGGAGGGCUGGGCUGUAAUCCAUAAAGUAAGGCUGAAAUGAGAUGUCUUGGGCAGGAGUAUGUAAAAGAAAGGUGAGAAGAAUAGUUUAAAAGAAAACCUAGCAUAGCUACCAAUGCUGGGACAAAUGAAGAGGUGCUACUGGCAUUUAGGAAAUGAACACUGAGACUUGAAGAAUCCAGAACUAUACUAGUGUCGGACUGCCUGUGAGACAGACUGAGUGAGGUAAUUAGGGACAGCAUGAGAGCUUAGAAAUAGCUACCUGGUGAGCAGACUUGUUUUUUUUAACACAAAAUAAGUUUUCAAAGCAAAUGCCCAUAAUUAAUGAAAAAAAUGCAAUUUUUAACUAAGCCUUUUCCCCCUUUUCACCUGCUUCAAGAGGUCCUGCCAAAAAAGAAGCUGCCAUAUACCUGCAAGUGAUAAUCCCAAAGGAAGAGGAAUGUGGUAUAGGUUGUAAUCUGUACAUGGUUCCAUGAUUCUAGGGACAGGCUAUUGCUCAGUGCUAAAAUCCCAUCUUGCAUUCAGGAUAUGUGUUGAAAUUCUGGACUCGGUCCAUGCAAGAACUUGCAAGUCAUGAAAACAUUUAUAGCAGGACUCUAUAUGAACCUAACACCACUCCUCAGAUACAGGUACUCUCCCUGCAUGAAGUAUCUUCCUGCAAAUAGAUAGGUUCAAAUACUCUUGUGCUCCGGCUUCUGUAGGUCAUAAUAAUCUCCGUGACAAAAUCACAUCUAAAGAAACCAGCUGGGAAGUGACAAAUAGAUCAUACCUGUGCAGGGCCCAGCGAGUCAUGAAAAGCUUCACAAGUUUGGGUCAGUUUUGAUGCUUACUCAAGCCUGGAGACAAGCCUGCAGAGUUAAUCAUCUCUCUCUUCAACCCUAAUAGUUCAUUUGGCAGAGUAGGCUUCUACCACCACCCUCUCACCUCUGUGCUGUUCAGCAUCCUGCUGCAUCUCCUCCGAUUUGCACUGCUGCUUAAAUUUUAGUUCACAGUGCAGAUAGGGGGUAUAGCUAGUUACAUGCCUAGUACUCUGUUGGUUAUGUGUAAAUAAAUAUUAAGCUCCAGAUCACACACAAAAAUUUUGCAUCUGGAAAUAGCAGGGCUCAGCACCAUAACUUUCAACGCAGGUGACAAAGCAAGGUAUGCAGUGAAAUCAUCAAAAUGUGAAGGGGCUCAAUUUGAGAGGCAAGGAUCAUCUCUCUUGAGAUGUGGCAGAAAGUUAAGAGAAAAUACAAGCCGAGAGCAGUUGGCUUUGGAGACUGUAAGGAGAAAGCCUGAUGAAGAAUCCAAUCUUUAGUCUAAAAGAUUUGACUUUGAAGCAUCCAGUGGGUUUGAGGACACAGAGCUGUGUGUGGGGAGGUGGAAUCAGAGCCCAGGCUUUGUGCCAACCAGAUAACCCAAAGAACAGGAAAAAGGAAACCACAAAGCUCUGCCAUAAAUGCUGGGAUUAUCAGAGGGGAGGAUGAGCUGGUUCAGAUGAAGUAAUUGAUUUGAAACAUUCCUCAAAAUGCAGCUAAAGAUUGGAGUUUCAAGACAUUCAGUUCAGUUUUUUCCCCUCCUAUAGUUUUGCACUUUCUAUUUUUUGGCUGGGCUUGGAUGAGAAUGUGCCAAAAGACCGCAAGUAAAUCUGUCUGUUCUCACAGAGUUUCUGGCUCAACUAGGAGUAGGAGGAAUCCAGGCUCUCAUGAGAAAGCCUGUUUCCAUGCAAUUUCCAGACUAGUUUUGCAGACUCAGAAAGUCAGGAGAAGGUGCCAGACUUUGGGGGGGCUGCUGAACACUGAGCCUUUGGAAACUUGCUCAUCGCUAGCUACCAGGAGAGAAACUGAAAGCACGAAAGAAAGAGGGUAGAAGGAAACUGCGUUCUAACUAGCAUCACUAGAUAGGAAACCGGCUUCCUGCAAGGAAAUAUGGGGGGGUUAGUUCCUGAGGAUCAUAGUAAGUAGGACUAAAUGGAGCUGGUAGGAACAGCAAAGAACUGAUGAUCUGAAUGUUGUAGCCUGCUGGCACAGGACUGCAUAAGACUGAUAAUAUGGACCGGGAGCAGACAGGGUAUUGUGUCACAGCUCCACAUAAUUUAUCAGGGAAAGUUUAAAGAUGAAGAGAGAGGAAGAAAAAAGGAUAUAGUCCAUGAAUGACAGGUGAAUACAGAACAUCUACUCCAGCAAAUUUUAAGUGCCCCCAGUUUUUGUCAUGGAUGUUAAAAUCACACAGAAAAAGUAUAAUGUAGCACAUAUGUGGAAUAUAUAUAUACUGGUUGGGCCAGUAAAAUGUGGAAAGUACAAUGAUUAAGUUUGCGGAUGACACCAAGCUGUGGGGAAAUGUAGGCACAUCAGAGGAUAGUGUAAGGAUCCAGGAUGACCUUGAUAGGUUCGUUCUAUGGGCUGAACAGAAUCAGAUGAGGAGAAGCUGAGAGGCAUGGGACUCUUCAGCCUGGAAAACCAAAGGCUCAGGGGUGACCUGGUGGCAGCCUAUGAGUAUAUAAGGGGUACAGGGGUAUAUCAGGACCUGGGAGAACAUCUGUUCACCAGGACACCCCAAGGGAAGAUGACGUCUAAUGGUCACAAACUCCUGAAAGACCGUUUUAGGAUGGGCAUAAGGAAAAACUUAUAGAGCCUGGAAUAGACUUCCCCCAGAAGUAGUGCAAGCACCUACCCUGGACACUUUAAAAAAACACUUAGAUGCUUAUCGUCCUGGGAUCAUUUGACCCCAGCUGACUUCCUGCUCCUUGGGCAGGGGGCUGGACCCAAUGAUCUUUCAAGGUCCCUUCCAGCCCUAAUGUCUAUGAAAUCUAUGAAACAGGGAAAGUGCUGGGUCCUUCAUCUGGGUAGGAAGAACCUUCACCAUAACUACAUGAUGUGUGGUAGUCCACUGGCUGGCACAGCAUCUGAAUGGGACCUGGGGAUAACAAAUCGACCAGAGGAUGAACAUGAGCCAACAGUGCGAUGAAGUCGCCAGCAUGGCAAACAGAACUGUGAUGUGCAUCAGCCAAUGAGUGGCCAAUAGAUCCAGAGAGGUGCUUCUCCCUCUCUAUUCAGCACUGGUGAGGCCACAGCUGGAGUACUGUGUCCAGUUCAGGGCACCGCACUUCAGGAAGAAUGUGGAUAAGCUCAAGAGGGUACAGAGAAGGGCCACCUGUAUGCUUCAGGGCCUGGAGGAUAGGUCCUAUGAGGAGAGGCUCUGAAAACUGGGUCUGUUCAGUUUAAGUAAGAGAAGAGGUGACUUGAUAGUGGCCUGCAAGUAUGUUAGGGGUGAGCACCAAGAUCUAAGGGAGCAACUCUUCAAGAAGAUACCCCUUGGGAGGACCAGGACCAAUGGGCACAAUCUAAUUAAAGAAAAAUUUAGGCUGGACAUAAGGAAAAAAUUAUUUUCUGUAAGGGUAAUUAGAAUCUGAAACACACACCCAACAGAGGUGGUGCAGUCACCAUCCUUGGAGGUGUUCAAGAGGAGGCUGGAUAAGCACCUUGUUGUGCCCAUUUGAGCCCAAUAAUCUCCUGCCCAUGGCAAGAGACCAGACUCAAUGAUCUUUCAGGUCCCUUCUGGUCCUUUGAUUCUGUAUCCCAGUAUCAUAGUUAGCUCCCCGCAUCCCAUUUAAUUAGACACGGUGAAGGAAACAAAGGUUACCAAAAGUUUCAUCUAAUCUAUUUGCAACCUCACAAGUUUCUCCCUAAAUUUUUGAGACAAGACCAGCCAAACAGGUUCAUGGCUAGGUAGAAUUUUAACCAAGGUUAGCACCCGCAACUUGAGUGUGCACAAGAAGUCUGAAAACAUGAGUCAAAUGUCACCAAGAUGCAAUUCUUUUGUUCAGCAUAACAGUCGUGGAAUGAGAAGAGACACUUACCAGCAAUGCCUAUUGGGAAAGAACAUUUGAAAGACAAUGAAUUAAGGUAACAGAAGCAAAACAUAUUUUAGUUACAUAUCCUCAUUGAAAGAAAACUUCACACUUUAUGAGGGUAAAGGUUAUGGCUCCAGGAAAAGAGGAGAGAGGAAAUUUCAGUCACCCUGGACCUGAUCCAAAAGUCACUGAAGAGACUCCCAUUUACUGCUUUAGGAAUUGGAUUAGGCCCACUGUAAAGUAUUCCAAUAAAAAAAUAAAACUAUGCAACAAUAGAGAACACUGAAACAAUAGCCAGGAUGAUCUUUAACAACAUAACUGAUCUUGAAGAGUCAACCCAGAAACCCUAAAACUGCACAAUGGGAGACUAACAUGAUCUUUAUUUUUUUUUUUAAUCCCUAGAGUCAAUGGGGCAAUUUGGGGCAGCGUUUGCAGGCUCAGGCCUUGAGCUCCCCUUCCCCCCCACACCUGUCUCACAUUUUGCCUCCCAUUCCCUUUGAUUCUCAUUGCCAUGCAUUUGCAUUUUCACAGACCUGCAUUUUGCAUACUGGCUUCUCUUCCACCAUGGAAAACACAUAACACCAGCAAUUCUCCCUAUGCCUGAAGAAGGGUGUUUGCGCCCAAAAGCUUGCAGAGAACAAUUUUUCCAACUAUUUAGUUGGUCUAAUAAAAGAAAACAGAAAACUGUUUCUAUGUCCUUAGACCAACACAGCUCCAAUCAACAACCCUGACAUAGAGGGGCAUUGCAAGGAGAGGAAUACCUUAUGCUACGUGAGAAUCAGGGAGGAGAAAAAAAGUGAUGUGAACUGGUUCACGAGAAAAUCCCCUCCAUGAGAGCAGCCAGGGAGCAGAAGCAGAGCCACGUGGGCUGUGUCAGUUUGUACGUCAGCUUGUUCAAUUUGCUUUGUGUCACAACCCAAAGUUGUGAUUUGUUGUUUGUGUGUGCUUCGGCAACGCUAAAUUAUGUUCCUGUUAAAAUUACAGCUUCCUUGCACGGUGGAGUUCUCUGCUGCAGAAGAGAACCCCGGUGCAAUGGAGAAUUUCCCACCAAAUUUGCAGCUUUCUUUGCAGGGUGCAUUUCUCUGCUGCAGAGGAGAAAUGCUCGUUGCAAAGAGUUCCCGCCAUUCGUAUUAUAAUUCGAGCCCCAUUAUUGGCUUGUGCUAAAUUAUGCACACGUGGCGGCUAGUGAUUGGCUUGCUAGCCGCAUAAAAAGCUUGAGUGGUUUCCGCCCAAGUUGGAGGACUCCACAAACAUCAGGAGGAGGAGACUUCACCCUGUGUGAAGAUCUCUAAGCGCUGCGGAUCCUUACGGACCCAAUGCAUUUCUUAAGCAGGCAACAGAGGUCUGAUCAGCCUCUAGCCUCUCCCUGUCGCCGAGCGCAAUCCUAGACGUAUCCCUAUCCUAUAUACCCAAUUUUCGAACCCACGGAGCCUUAACAGCUCCAGGGGCCUGGGAACCGAACAAAACCCAUGGAGAUUCAGCCACUCCGUGAGGAAAGAAUUGCCGAACCUGUGGAGCCUAAACAACUCCGGGGCCAAAGAACUGAAUUUGUCAGAGUCCUCCAACGAGGAUUUAAGCGGAGCUGCACCUGGAAAACUGUCCAGCCUACACCGCGACCAUCUUGGGUGUAAGUAAAUAAUCUUUUCAAUCAACCACUACGCCUCCGUGACUAAUUCUAGCCCGCGCAUACCUUGCCGCCCCGCGGUUUUCUCUGGCCCCACGUGCCCGGGCUGCUGGCCACAGUCCGCGUGCGCAAAGACGGGCCCGGCUCGCCCCUGGCCUGCACACUUUCCUUCUCCCAUGGUAGCAGAGCUUGCAUCAGUAUCAUUUUGACGCUCAAAUCUUGUCAUGGCCUUCUUUUGUUUAUGUAUCUCAACUCCACAGACUAGCCUUGACAAGAUCCUACAAAACGUGGUAGUGAUUUUAAAUGCCAUGGAAGUAAAUUGUAAAGCAGCACUAACCCUGUCACUUAGAAGCCUGGCAGAGUUGCUACAAGUGCUCCUACACGUUUCCUCUCCCAGUUAAAAUCUCAAUCCUUUGGAAUAUAUUUAAGUUCCUUACUUGAGAACUAUCCAUUUUUCAAAGAUUUCAAAUCUCUGUGAUUUUCAUAUGAAAGGUUUAUUCUAAUGGAAUGUCACUUCAGUGCCAGCUAGAGUGGUGUGCCCAGUGUCACUUUCCUGGGGUCCAAAGAAAGGCAAUACUUACAUCCCUUUCUUCUUUAGUUAUAUCAAGUAACGUAACUGGAGUAUCUAACUGAUAAGUUCAACAGCAGGUAUUUGGCUGGCAAGGGACUGAAAAAGAGAAGAGAGAGGCAGUCAAAGCUUAACUUAUGGGAUGUUGUGGCAACACACGGCACAUAAAAUUGCAUGUGAAGUAGUAACUCAAUGAACUCCAAAAUACUCCAGAGUACUUAAAAAAAGAAAUAAAUCCACAGUGAGUGGAUCUAAAUGAGACUUCAUGUUGAGCUAUUGAGAAGCACUGGAAUAAAAAUGGGGCUUUUCUUUCAAAAUGUCAUAUAUGUGGUAUGCGAAGAAACAAAUCAUCAAACAAAUGUCAGUCUCCAGCAGAGAUACAAGUUGACAUCUCAAUAUAAAACCAGCCUAGAUGACAAUAGCAAUAAUACAACUAGGAUAUAGACCUAGAAUGAGAAGUAUAUGAAAGUUGUAGCAGACCCUUAAAUUCACUGGUUUGUAAAUGGAAUGGGAUUAAUAAGGAGUGAAGAAAGGUAAUAUGGUGAAGGGGAACUGACUCUUCAUUCCUGAACAAGCCAGUUUAUUUCAGACACUCUAAGGCUUGGGAUUUUUAAAUGGUGUGAAUUUUUUGUGAAGGAAUUGUGAUAUUGUGUGUAGAUGUAACUUGACCUCCCUUGAAACAUAUCCAGCCAUAACUUUUUAACAAAGUCUUUUUGUUCAGGAAUUUCCCAAAUUGUAUAAUGAGUAGCUUAAGUUUAAAUCAAGUUGGUGAAUGAAGUUCAAAGGAAGGAGGCCUCUCACAUGACAGUUCUCAGUCCCCCUUCCUGCCAACCCGGGUCCCAUAUGGCGCACUAACUUUUAGAAUUCAGAAAGUUGUGUUUAAACAUGGUUACAGACUCUUCCACACCCAGUGCCACAUCCCCUUUCCCAUCUGUGUUCCAGCCUCUCAGAACUUCACAUGUUCUUCCCUCAUCCCUCCUGCUUUCAGUCUACAUGUCUCCACCUCCAGUCCUAUCCAGAAGUCCCGGUAGCACAGUCUGCUGUCAAAAGAAGAGCAAAUCUUAUUUAUAAAUAUUUUUUAAACUGCUAGUCAUUUAAAUAUGGCCCCCUCAUACGUGGGAAAAAAGCUCUGUGGGCAUGCAGCCCAGCAAUUAGCUACAGGUUAACUGGGGAAGCACAGGUGGUGGGAGGAGAAAAGCAAAGAGAGAAGAAACCAUGUACAACUUCCUGUUAAUUGAAGGAAUGCAGAAGUUCUGCACAAGACAUUUCUCUGCCCUAGUCCAACAGGGAAUCAAAAGGAGGGCUUUUCUCCCUUCAGUCUGUAUAUACAGUGAGGAACAAAGACAAAGAGAGUGAAGGUCACCCAUACAUAAGUGAUACAGAUAACAUCAGCCUGGGCUUUAAUUUUCAGCUCUGCAUGGAGGGCGAGAGACAAAGGUACAAAUGGAUAUUAAAAAACAGACAUCUGAUUUUUACCUCCCCUGCUCUGAGCAUAAUGAGUAUGUGGAAUUGUUUUCCAGGCAUGCUUGCUAAAGGAAAGUCGCUGCCUCCAUGACUACUAAAAUAGGGCCAGGGCUGGGAGAGGGGCCAAGGAUAAUCACACUGAGGUGUUUAUUAUGUAACGUGUCAUCUACCCACUCCAUUACAUUAAAGGCACAGGGACUUCUCUGAAAGGUGGCAUCCAAUAUAUUUUUGAAGGUGUAUUCUUAAGCGUUGACUAUUUUUCAGAGCGCUGUGAGCUCAUGUUUCACAAACCUACCUUUCCCCCCAGGGACUAGGGAGAAAAGCAGCAAAAGGAUAUAAAUUAGAAAUGAGAGAUCUUUAAUGGUGCUGAUUAUCAGAUUGCUGUCAGAACUGUGUAGGUGGUGUAUUAUACUGGAAUUGUUUAUUGCAGCGGUUCCCAAUCUGUGGUAUGGGUACCACCACUGGUAUACAGACAACCUGGCAGUGGUACGCGUUACCAGAUUUAUUACAAUUACUCUACAUGACAAAAAUUUGCUGGUGGUACUUAAGGUUGAACUGAAAAACUUGCUGGUGGUAUUUAAGGUUGUAUUGUUUUAAGUUGGUGGUGCACAAUCUGUCGAGUUUAGGAACCACUGGUUUAUUGUAUUUGCUUUAAGUAUCAUGAUCUUUAACAUCUGCAAAAAUAUCCUAGGCUUAUGCUGGACACUUCUUAUUCUAAAUCAGAAGCAGUAAUAAUAAAUUAAUAUGCUAUGUGUGUGUUUCAGUCACCCCAUAAAUUUCUUGAUGCUGUAAUAAUCCUUGCACUGCAUUCAAGCCUUGACCUAAUGAGUACCCUCUAAUGGCCCAAGGGUGUAGCUUGUAUUUAUGGACAUUGAAUUUUCGGGACUCUUUUGAAUGAAAGCCAUAAGCAAAUAUGUAAUGCAUCUAACAAUCCAUCAGGGAACUGAACUAAAACCACUAACACUUUAGCCAUAUAUGUAGCUUUAGGCUUCAAAAGAUAAGAAAUUAAUUCUCUAAUUCCCUACUCUUCCUAAUAUAUUUAAAUCAGACACUGAAUAAACAUUUUAGCCACUUAGAUAAUGACAUACACAUCUAGGAAAGUAAGAGUUAAUUGACAUAACAGAUAAAGAAGAAUAUUUCAACAACCUUCCUAGAAUACAAUGGCUGGUAGGCCUUUGACAGCAGCAGCUGCAGGCUAGCUCACAGUCUGAUCCCUAGCUCAGCUGUCACAUUACAUACUGGGAGACAAGGAACCUCUGCUAGCCUAACAGCCGUCUCACUUAAUGGAUUGCCCAGUUCACCGCUUCCAGACAUCAUCCAUUUUUUCCUGCUCAAAUCCUCUUUGCACACUUUAGUGUGGUUUCUAGUUCAAACUUGCCUUGGGGAUAAAGAAAUGGUCACAUUCCAGACUAUCACUGCACAGGCGAGAAACAAAAUCCCUUUUUUCUUCCCCGGCCUCAGGUUUGAAAUGAGAUAAUACUAUCAAUGAUCUUAACAGACCACCAUUUGGAACUUCCAGUGAAAGCAGUUAGGAUUUCAUAACAAAUUUCACAGUCAUCUCAGAAUGAAUAUGGUAUAACGUGCAUGUAAGGAAAAGAACACUCUUUGAUUAAAGGAUACCACAGAUAGCAAUCUUCCUAAACCUAUUUUUGCCUCUUUUAGGGGAAACAGGGUGCUGUGGAUGAGUGCUGUGACACAUGUCUGUAAGUAAACUCUUGUGCAUACGAGCGAAGCUCUUAUCUUCAUAAUCUCCUAACUGUGAUAGGAGUUGGGUAAGCAAAGCCAAGGUUAGAAUUCUGUUCUGGCUAACAAUAGAAGCAUGUGGUGCUUUUCAGAGGAUGAAUGCCAGUUUCUUACUGCAGGUGCACUUGUGGUGUGGCCACAGGAGGAAAGCAAUAACUGACAUCCUUUUCUAUUCAAUUCACAGUCAAAAGAGUAUUUGUAAUUUAGUAGUUGACUAGCAGAAGCUCAGCCCAUAUGGUAGCUGUUGUUUGGCAAAGAAAAAAAAAACAGUACAUUACUUAAACCAGAAAGAUGAUGCAGGCUGCACAUUAACUCUGAGCUUGAAGUGGGCCCUGGCCCAGUAUUAUUCUUAUUCAAAUAGGUGCAUGCUCACACUUGGAAUAAGAUACAAAACUCCAUUUCCCGAUACCGCAAAUUACUGUUUUCUUUACUCAUUCAUUUUCCUCCUGAUUACAUGAAAAAAAAUCUGGCUAUAAAUUUACAUAAACCUCCCAUGAGAAAUACGAAAGGUUAAAAGUAAAGCCAGCUGGAAAAUAUGUAGGGAGUUCAACACAAAUUUGAGAUCGGUUAUUUUGCUUAUAAUUUCUCUCCCAUUUCCACCCCAAAUUCAGAGUUCUAAAAAGCCCAGUAGUCACUAUCUAGAACAUUUAACUCUUUUUGCACAGGUGGACGAAAUACAAAAUGUAGAGAUCUUUUUGUGGGAUACCCCUAGGGGGAAAAAUUAGUUUUGAAUGAAAACGUUUGGAUGAAUUAGGAAGAUCUUACUGACUUUUUUUGCUUUAUACUUUUUUUUUUUUUAUUUUUUUUAAGGAAAAUAUGGACAGCUGCAAUCAUGUUCUUAAUAAUACAGUAAUCAUAGGAGAAUAUCUCAUCAUGCUGGUUUAAGUAUAAAACAAACUCUGACCAAAAAACUUAAAGGACUGGGGAGAACUAUGAUCAAAUGAAAGGCGAAUAACCAGUGAGUUUGCAUCUAAAAUGUUGUGCUGAUUUGGGGAUGUUGCAGAAUACCAUAAAUUAAUAGACCAGUACAGAGUAUAUGUAUAGUCCAGGAUAAAAUGAUGUGAACUUACUGGUUUUAGAUUUAUCUUCUACAACUGUUCUUGAGGUCAUCAAUAGAACAAUAGAGAGAAGGGCUGAAAUGAGGGAAAAGAGCAGGAAGAAAAGGGAGAAAGUAUUACGAGGAAUCUUGUUCAGUUUCAGGUUUAGUUAUACCCUCCAAACUCAAAUCAGGUUUGCCAAAAAGCUCAUGGAAGCAGUGGAUCUGGCACUGAUUUAUGACUUGAGGUGAAAACCAGGCAAAACGUGGCAGUUCCAGUUGUAAUUUGCAUUAGACAAGAAUUUGUCUUCAUUUUGAACAAGUUCUAAAUAGGCUAAUCAACUUAAAAUGACAAGUCAGCUUCAAGGUUAGUCAGGUUAAAAACAGUAAAAAACAGUACAAAAACAGUAAAAAAUUAUGCACCCCUCCUCCUGAUCCCUCCUGACUCAAUCUGCAAGUUUGAGUGUCUUGCAAUCACAUCUUCCUCAUGUUUCUCUUCUUUGUUGCACAUGAAAAACCCCAUACAAACAAAACAGGAAAUUGACUGAAUAUGCAGGGGAAGCAGUGAAACUAAAUAUAAAGAGCUGUCAAAUACACAAGUGACCUGAAAAGUGGAAAGAAAAAUAUUUGUUUCCUUUAAUCUCCUUCGGUUAUAAUUGGAAAAACAUUGUGACAAAUUUGGAAUCCUCUGAUAUUGUAAUAAUAAAAACCAUCUAUACAGAUUUUUUUAACACGGUAGUGUCUCUUUAAGAAUUUACCCAUUUAAUCUCAACGUAUGUGACUUCAGGUAAUAUUUCUGGGGCCAAUUUCAUCCCCAGUGUACCUAUAUUAAGUGGGUUGACGCAAAUGAUAUUACCCCUGGGAUUAAUUUGGGCCUUAGAGUUUAAGGCCACUAACAUAAAAGAGCAGCAGCGCCUAAAAGGCAAAAUACAAACAAGAUUUAAGACAAAGUGAUAGAAAAGGCAAUAAGGGGAGUAUAUUUUCCUUGUUUCAACUCAGUAAUUGGCUGUGGUCAGGGAACUCCGUUCUUAGGACUCUAAAAAAAUCACUAAUCCUCAGCGGCUCAAUUGCAAUUUACAGAGGUCUGGGCCACAAGAAAUGCUCUGGAGUCUAACGCUGGGAUGUGUAGUAAGGAACAGUAAAUACAUCAUCCAGGGCAGUUUAAAUGAGCCAUUUGCAAGAAACCCAAUUGAGGUUAAGUUAUUUUAAAUUAGAAAAUUGUAUUUGUUGUUUGAUCAGUAUUUCAAUUCACAUAGAAAUCUGUUUUCCUUGUGCAUGAUGAGGACUGCAAGUUGCUGCAGGUAAAUAGAUAUAGUUUGAGUAUUUUGCUGCAAAGGAAAUUUAAAAGGUCAAUCAGAAUGGAAAAUACUUUUUCCCCUUGGUUCUUCUGUUCCAGACCCUGCUGAUAAAUCUAUUUAGACUGUAGAAUUAAGAAAAAAAAAAUCUAUGGUAGGGCCCAGCUAGAAUAAGUAAAGCAUAUGAGUUAGCCACAUGGUGGACAUGUUAGGAAUGUUACAUUAGGCUGUGCACAUCUCUCAUUACUAGCAUCUUUAACAUGUUGCUGCAGAUAGUUAAAAAUAAACAAGUUGCAUGGUUGUCUAACUAUUUCAAACAAGCAUGUUGUAGGUGCAUGUGAUAGUCCUGCAAGUUUUAUUAGUAAAGCAGGAGUCAACAUUUGUGAUUUACAGUCUGUAGAAAAGAUGAUGUCAUUGUAAUGUGAACAAGGUCAGAAUCCCCAAAGACGCAUUACCCUGACAAUAGGAUGAGAUCAUGCUGUAUACUUGUCUGCUCCAGAGGGAAAUAAUCAAGCAAACCUAAAUGUAAAAGCUGUGCUGAGCAUUAGGCAAAACCUACAGAGGCAGCAUUUGGUCUAAUGUAAUACAGUGGAGUGCUGUAGAUUUCUUUGAGCUUCACUCACGUACAAGCUUCUGCAAGGACCCGUUCCAAAUCUCACGUAGGUUAAAUCUUCAACCGACUUCCUUGGGAGCUGGACCAGACCCUGAGAAUCAGGCACGGGAAGCACUCAGUAUGUCUCAGGAUGUGGUCCCAGAGGCAGAGAAGCGCAUCUUUACGCAAGCCUUUAAAACCUGAGAGUAUAACACGUGCUGAAAAUGAUACAAGGUCUACAGAUUAACAGCAACAAAAUGCUAUGAAGAAUGAAAUUGAGGUUCUCUCUCAAUUCUUUGUGGUGAAGGGGAUUUUAUUUUCCCAGGGGUUCAUGAGGAAUUAAUGCUACAUUUACUUUGUUAGAAAGCUGCAAAGAAAAUGUUACAAACUUAAGCAGCUUGAGUUGACAAUUUUAUUUUGUUUCUGCGUUAUGACAGUACCGUGUGGUUUACCAGAGAACAACAAUCUGUCUUUGAACCUCCUAUAUACUUUAAUGGAAAAGUCACAUCCCUGAAGUAAAAGUCUGUGGCUUGGUUAAAAUCCAGGCCUUCAGUAUAAAUUCCCCUAAUAAUUUCUGAGCUGAAGUUCUCAGCUGGUGGAAAUCAGCAUAGCUCCCUUGACUUAAAUGUAGCUAAAGUGAACAACAAAGACUUCAGCAGAGUUAAACAUAUUUGCAACAGCUACUGAGAGUGUCUAAGCUUUUUUGUUUGGUUGGUUUUGUCUUUGUAGGAGUCAUUUCACUAGAACUGUAUUGGUUUCAUCCCCAUUCAAUUGUAUAGUAUUCUCCUAUAAAGGGAAGGAAGUUUCUUCUGAUGAAAAGGAAAAACUGUCAGUAUAGAGCAAGGAGUGAUGCUAAUCUUCUGAAACAAGAAUGACCUUACUAGUUUAUUAAUACGUUCACAGACUAAGACAUAGCAUUUAAAAAGGCUUUGUAGAACUGGAUUUGCUACUCCAGAGCUUCUCUCCUUUGUAAAUGGGUAGAAGAAGAAAGUUAAACAAAUAUGAACUGCUAGGACUUCUGAAGUGCAACCAAAGACCUACACAGUCUCCUUAAUAAAGAAUUACAAUUGUGUUCCUGCUUAAGCUAA